AAAUGAGACCACGGAGGCUUCGGCUUCAGUGGUUAAAGGUGGCCUCUGCUUGCAAGCUAUCGCUUAGAGAUGGGCCUGCGCACCAUUAGCUAGUGGUGGGUAACGCCUACCAAGGCAAAGAUGGUUAGCUGGUCUGAGAGGAUGAUCAGCCACACUGGGACUGAGACACGGCCCAGACUCCUACGGGAGGCAGCAGUGGGGAAUCUUGCGCAAUGGCGAAAGCCUGACGCAGCAACGCCGCGUGGUGAUGAAGGCCUUCGGGUCGUAAAGCCCUGUCGGAAGGAACGAAUGCUCCCAUCGUGAAUAACGGCGGGAGGUGACGGUACCUUCAAAGGAAGCACCGGCUAACUCCGUGCCAGCAGCCGCGGUAA
rnacentral:rRNA from 1 species